AGAAUCCUCUGGUGGCCUGAGUUGGGGAAACGGGGUGCCCGUACGGGGUUCAGAGCCCAGGAACCUGCCUUCAGGAACCUGCCUGGCCUGUCCAAUCCGAAGCUUUGCCCUUUUAAAACCAAAUUGCUCUCUGCAGUUUAAGCUCCUGGCCAUUUCCUGUUUUGCCCUGAUUCAACCUGCAGAGCCGGAUUGCACCCUCUUGGCCGGGUCCUGGGAGAGCAGCCGCCUCCGGCGCCUCCGCUGUGCUCGGCCAAGUGGAACCCCUGAACAAAUGCCCUCGGGAGCGCUCCCGGCCUGGCCGGCUGCAGUUGGAGACACAGCGCCAUCUAGUGGAAGAGAGAAAAAAGCCCCAGUUGCUUUUUUUUUUUUUUUUUUUUUUAAAUUAGUGGAGAAACCUUGAAAUGGACUGAGAAUCAACCUUUCUCGUUUGAUACCAAAGGAGCUUGAGGCCAAAGCAAAUCCAGAGAAGGAAAUGGAUUUCCUGAGUGUCACACAGCCAGCCAGUGGCAGCUUUGACGCUACAGAACCUCAUCAUUUGAGGCGCAGUUCAGCAGUCUUGGCACCAUGCCACGAAACUCCUGCAACUCUGGGUUUCUGGUCUUGAGAUCCCAGACAAGGGGUGGGGCCAGCACCCUUGUUUUCUGCUCUCUGGAGACUGCCGUGACCUGGAUGAAACAGGACUGCCGUGAGGAACUGCGCAGUACUUGGACUUUUCAGCCAAUCUACAGCUAAAAGGCACAUCCACGCAGUAGACUGUUGCCCACGAUUGUGGAGGGGGAAAUGCUAGCUGCAUUAUUCAGUGUCAGUUUCAGGGGUGGAGGGAAAGGUUAAAACCAAUGCCUAACUUCAUUCCUUCAAAAGAAAAUCCUAAAUGUUGACUUGAAACAUAUGGCUAUGCUUUGGGAUAAAUCGUAGUCUAGUUUCUCAUGGCUAUCCUAAAACAGCAAAAGGAUCUCUCGGCUGCAUUCUCUUCCUUCAGAGCCUGGGCCCUUCCCUUAACUCCUAGGCCAUCAUCCCAGCAGGAAGGACCAAGCCCAUCUUGCCUUAAACCGAAGGUUGCUGGCAGAGUUUCAGGCUGUAUACAAACACCGUCAUAACUGGGGUGUGCUCCUGACCAGAGACCUGGCUCCAAAUGCAUCCUGGUGAUAUCCCCAGCAUAGUCUAAAAGCUAACGUAUCCCGGAAGCUCUGCGAUCAUUUAUCAGAAGAACUCUCAGACAAGCCUUUCGUCCUUGACACUGGCAAGGCCCUCAGCGCGUGACUCAGUGUCCUGCACUGAGCCUGUCCCUCCCCAACCACACAUGCCGGAUCCCCUUUCCCUCCUCCCCUGGCCUUGAUCUUGAGGCUGUUAGCCUGCUAGUUGUUCUGCAUUGGCUGGUUCUUCUCUUUUCCUCUCUGAAUUCCUUUCACUAAAAGACUUUGGAACAAUUCAUAAUUUCAUACGCCUUCCCAUCCCUGCAACUCCCACAUGACAGAAUCCACCCUGUGAUGAGCCUCAGACUGUCAUAACAGCAACCCUCCACAGAUGACUAAGCCUAAGGGAACCCCCAUGUAACACAGGUCAGAGCCCUCACACAGCCUGAAGAUACCUCAAAUCCUCUACGCCUUAAGGUGAAAGGGUAGCUAAGUAGGACAUUUCUUUUCCCAAAAGAUGUUUGUUGAGUUCUUUCCAUGUGUCAGUACUUUCCAAGGCUCUCUCAGGAGACAGAUACGAAUAAAACGGACAGGCCAGCU
rnacentral:lncRNA from 1 species